rnacentral:rRNA from 1 species
CUCAGGAUGAACGCUAGCGGGAGGCCUAACACAUGCAAGCCGAGCGGUAGAGUAUCUUCGGAUACUUGAGAGCGGCGCACGGGUGCGGAACACGUGUGCAACCUGCCUUUAUCUGGGGGAUAGCCUUUCGAAAGGAAGAUUAAUACCCCAUAAUAUAUUUGAUGGCAUCAUUAGAUAUUGAAAACUCCGGUGGAUAGAGAUGGGCACGCGCAAGAUUAGUUAGUUGGUGAGGUAACGGCUCACCAAGGCGAUGAUCUUUAGGGGGCCUGAGAGGGUGAUCCCCCACACUGGUACUGAGACACGGACCAGACUCCUACGGGAGGCAGCAGUGAGGAAUAUUGGACAAUGGGUUAGCGCCUGAUCCAGCCAUCCCGCGUGAAGGACGACGGCCCUAUGGGUUGUAAACUUCUUUUGUAUAGGGAUAAACCUACUCUCGUGAGAGUAGCUGAAGGUACUAUACGAAUAAGCACCGGCUAACUCCGUGCCAGCAGCCGCGGUAAUACGGAGGGUGCAAGCGUUAUCCGGAUUUAUUGGGUUUAAAGGGUCCGUAGGCGGAUCUGUAAGUCAGUGGUGAAAUCUCAUAGCUUAACUAUGAAACUGCCAUUGAUACUGCAGGUCUUGAGUAAAUUUGAAGUGGCUGGAAUAAGUAGUGUAGCGGUGAAAUGCAUAGAUAUUACUUAGAACACCAAUUGCGAAGGCAGGUCACUAAGA